rnacentral:rRNA from 1 species
GGUGGGGAUGACGUCAAGUCAUCAUGGCCCUUACGACCAGGGCUACACACGUGCUACAAUGGCGCAUACAAAGAGAAGCGACCUCGCGAGAGCAAGCGGACCUCAUAAAGUGCGUCGUAGUCCGGAUUGGAGUCUGCAACUCGACUCCAUGAAGUCGGAAUCGCUAGUAAUCGUGGAUCAGAAUGCCACGGUGAAUACGUUCCCGGGCCUUGUACACACCGCCCGUCACACCAUGGGAGUGGGUUGCAAAAGAAGUAGGUAGCUUAACCUUCGGGAGGGCGCUUACCACUUUGUGAUUCAUGACUGGGGUGAAGUCGUAACAAGGUAACCGUAGGGGAACCUGCGGUUGGAUCACCUCCUUA